GUGUGACCUGCCAGGCACCGCCUUGUCAUCCCCUAAGGCCGAGCCUGACAGAUCACACA
ensembl:miRNA